rnacentral:sRNA from 1 species
AGCAGCCGCGGUAAUUCCAGCUCCAAUAGCGUAUAUUAAAGUUGCUGCAGUUAAAAAGCUCGUAGUUGAAUUUCGGGACCAUCAUGUCGGUCGUGCCUCGGUACGUACUGGUAUUGUUGGUUUCUCCCUUCUGACGAACCAUGAUGUCAUUUAUUUGGUGUUGUGGGGAAUCAGGACUGUUACUUUGAAAAAUUAGAGUGUUUAAAGCAGGCUCACGCUUGAAUACAUUAGCAUGGAAUAAUGAAAUAGGACGUUUGAUUCUAUUUUGUUGGUUUCUAGGAUCGACGUAAUGAUUAAUAGGGAUAGUUGGGGGCAUUAGUAUUCAAUUGUCAGAGGUGAAAUUCUUGGAUUUAUUGAAGACUAACUACUGCGAAAGCAUUUGCCAAGGAUG